rnacentral:rRNA from 1 species
CGAAAGCCUGACGGAGCAAUACCGCGUGAGGGAGGACGGCUUUUGGGUUGUAAACCUCUUUUAUCAGGGAAGAAUCGAUGACGGUACCUGAUGAAUCAGCAUCGGCUAACUCCGUGCCAGCAGCCGCGGUAAUACGGAGGAUGCAAGCGUUAUCCGGAAUUAUUGGGCGUAAAGCGUCCGUAGGUGGUUUAUCAAGUCUGCUGUCAAAGCGUGCGGCUUAACCGCAUAAGGGCAGUGGAAACUGAUGAACUAGAGUGCGAUAGGGGUAACAGGAAUUCCCAGUGUAGCGGUGAAAUGCGUAGAUAUUGGGAAGAACACC